AGAAUCUGUGUUGGCGUGCAGGGAGCAGGCAGCGUCUGCAAAGUAGCGCUGGCAACCACAACAGAGAGGCCAGCAACAGGAGGAGCAGGAGGAGCCCUGGAACAAGUACAGUUGACUCUGAACAAGUCAGGUUUGAACUGCAUGGGUCCACUCAUAUGAAGAUUUCUUUCAACGAAAGCUACCCCGAGUGUGCCUGCCUUUCCUGCCUCCCCUUCCACCUCCUGCACCUCUACCAUCCCUGCCACCCCUAAGACAGCAAGGCCAGUCUCUUCUCUCUCCCCCUCCUCCUUCAGCCUAUUCAACUUGAAGAUGACAAGGAUGAAGAGCUUUAUGAUGAUCUACUUCCCCUUAAUGAACAGUAAAUAUAUUUUUUCUUCCUUACAAUUUUCUUAAUAGCAUUUUCUUUUCUCUAGCUUACCUUAUUGUAAGAAUACAGUGUAUAAUACAUAAAACAUACAAAAUAUGUGUUAAUAAACUGUUUAUGUUAUUGGUAAA
rnacentral:lncRNA from 1 species